rnacentral:lncRNA from 1 species
GCCUCUAUGUGCUCUGGGUGGCUGUGAGCACAGGAUGAGGCCAGCCAAGUCUCCUGUAACCCCCAUAAGCCACCUGCAGAGGCUGUCUGAAUUCUUUCAAAGAAGAAAUGACCACAAUUUAGGUUUGAAAUAUCUUUUUGCAAUAGAUAAUCUUAUUUACAUUAAUACAGAAUCAUUUUACAUUCCUAAAUCAGACACUAAUAGAUGCUUUAUUUUAGUGAAUUAUAAAGGAAAACAAAAAGGAAACUGUUGAGAAGUGUUCUUCAUUAACCUGUCUAACGACAGCCCGAGGAUCCUGAAACACAUGGAAACUGCGACAUGCUACCAGCAGAGGCUGGGGAAUGGGGGUUCUGCUCUCACUGAAUGGUGGGGAACCUUCAACUGCUUAGCCUGUGCUUUCCUUUUCUGAAUCAACAUUUACAAAGGAAAAAACAAUGAUUAGCACUGAAUAAUUUAAACACACUUCAGAAAAUAGAUGUCAACAGUGUAAGUGGGAGAACCAAGCCCCUGACUAGCAACAGUGGCAGGGCUUCAGUUCCCAAGGCAGCUGAAGUCUGGCCAGCACAGUGCUGCAGUGGGCUGUGGCUCAGCAGAAGGGCAGGAGCCCUCCAUGCCUGGCUUACAACAACAGGACUCAACAGUCAGGGACAGGCGGCCAUCCUGGAUGGGGUGGGAGCAAGGACUGUACAUCCUGACAAGGAUCACCACCCACACGGUCAGAGCAGAACCCUCAGGGACUCUCUGGGCCUCUACGUGCCUCCCAGGCACCGACUGUGCAGCUGCUUGGUACCCCGGGAAUAAAAACUAACUGAGCAGAGCAGCUGAUGCCUCGGCAGGGCCCCCCAUUAGGGGAGGACGGUGCUGGUGGAGCCUGGGGGCCCCACGCUCCCAGUGAAGACAACCUGUCAGGAAGAACUCAUUCUGGAACCUCCCAGAGGUUUGCUGAGAAGGAAAUUAAUCACAACGUAACUUGAUGCAGCUUAAGGCUUCAUUUCUAAGCUGUAAGCCCCUCACCCGAUAACUAAGAUAUCCACAAUAUUCAAUUCCAAAUCACCUUUUUUAGCCCUGCAAGAGUCUAACCAUCUCCCUCUGCCUGAGCCAGGGGCCGUCACCUACCAAUGGACAGGAAACUGCCACCAGCCUCUGGGGCUGCAUCCUACUGCCCGGGCUGUCCACUGUGACCUUUCCGUGGAGAGAGGUGUUGUCCCAUGAUUUUGCUGUUGCCAAGGCCGUCCAGAGGCUCUGCGGGUGGGAGCUCAGUGCUGCUGUUCUGGAAUCCUCCCGUCUCCCAGGUGCCCUGGCCCUUGGAGGGGCUGCUGCUUCCCGGCCUAGUUUCCAGUGGAUCUUUUUCCUGAGCCAAAGAGAUAGGCUGUUACCUUAUACUCAACAUUUCAAGGGAACACACCCCUGUGGGGAGCAUCUGUUGAUCCCUGGAAAGCAGCUGUGCCAAGAGAGGGGCGAGAACCCCACCUGCUGAGAUGAGCAUAAUAAACCAAAGUGGGUCCCAAGAUGACACGGCGAGCAAGCGCUACCCCUGGAGCAGCCCCCAGGCUUGCACAGCCCUGCGCUGUCCACGCAGGAGGGCAGCUUCCAAGCAGGCAGGACGUGAGGAGAUCUGAGUUCUAGGCCUGGCUCUGCCUGACUCGCCCUCUGUGACCGUGGGC